GACGAACGCUGGCGGCGUGCUUAACACAUGCAAGUCGAACGGAAAGGCCCUGCUUUUGUGGGGUGCUCGAGUGGCGAACGGGUGAGUAACACGUGAGUAACCUGCCCUUGACUUUGGGAUAACUUCAGGAAACUGGGGCUAAUACCGGAUAGGAGCUCCUGCUGCACGGUGGGGGUUGGAAAGUUUCGGCGGUUGGGGAUGGACUCGCGGCUUAUCAGCUUGUUGGUGGGGUAGUGGCUUACCAAGGCUUUGACGGGUAGCCGGCCUGAGAGGGUGACCGGCCACAUUGGGACUGAGAUACGGCCCAGACUCCUACGGGAGGCAGCGGUGGGGAGUAUUGCACAAUGGGCGGAAGCCUGAUGCAGCAACGCCGCGUGCGGGAUGACGGCCUUCGGGUUGUGAACCGCUUUCGCCUGUGACGAAGCGUGAGUGACGGUAAUGGGUAAGGAAGCACCGGCUAACUACGUG
rnacentral:rRNA from 1 species